CUACGUGCCAGCAGCCGCGGUAAUACGUAGGUGGCAAGCGUUGUCCGGAAUUAUUGGGCGUAAAGGGCGCGCAGGCGGCUUCUUAAGUCUGUCUUAAAAGUGCGGGGCUUAACCCCGUGAUGGGAUGGAAACUGGGAAGCUCAGAGUAUCGGAGAGGAAAGUGGAAUUCCUAGUGUAGCGGUGAAAUGCGUAGAUAUUAGGAAGAACACCAGUGGCGAAGGCGACUUUCUGGACGAAAACUGACGCUGAGGCGCGAAAGCCAGGGGAGCGAACGGGAUUAGAUACCCCGGUAGUCCUGGCCGUAAACGAUGGGUACUAGGUGUAGGAGGUAUCGACCCCUUCUGUGCCGGAGUUAACGCAAUAAGUACCCCGCCUGGGGAGUACGACCGCAAGGUUGAAACUCAAAGGAAUUGACGGGGGCCCGCACAAGCGGUGGAGUAUGUGGUUUAAUUCGACGCAACGCGAAGAACCUUACCAGGUCUUGACAU
rnacentral:rRNA from 1 species